GACGAACGCUGGCGGCAUGCCUAACACAUGCAAGUCGAACGGAGAAUUCCUUCGGGAAUUCUUAGUGGCGAACGGGUGAGUAACGCGUAGGCAACCUGCCCUUUGGAUGGGGGACAACAUUCCGAAAGGAGUGCUAAUACCGAAUGUGACGAUUUUACCGCAUGGUUUAAUCGUGAAAGAUGGCCUCUACAUGUAAGCUAUCGCCAAAGGAUGGGCCUGCGUCUGAUUAGCUAGUUGGUGGGGUAACGGGCUCACCAAGGCGACGAUCAGUAGCCGGUCUGAGAGGAUGAACGGCCACAUUGGGACUGAGACACGGCCCAGACUCCUACGGGAGGCAGCAGUGGGGAAUCUUCCGCAAUGGGCGAAAGCCUGACGGAGCAAUGCCGCGUGAGUGAUGAAGGUUUUCGGACCGUAAAGGCUCUUUUGUUUAUUGACGAAUGUGCAUGAUGUGAACAAUGUUGUGUAAUGACGGUAGUAAACGAAUAAG
rnacentral:rRNA from 1 species